rnacentral:lncRNA from 1 species
ACAUUAUCAUUAACUCUUACUGAUCUUUGUUGAAAUAGGUGAUUUUUGAGCAUCUGGUUCCAUCUUCGUUUAGAAACUUUUGAAUUGAUCAUGCAGUUUCAGAAGUGGAGAUUAAUUGACCAUGUCUGACAUAUGUGGAGAUUUAAGCCAAGAGGCAUGGGGUCAUCACCUACAAGAGUGAUUUGCAUAGCUGCUCGAAGGCGAAUUAUUCCAACUAUUUUCUAUUACUUCUGGAUUUGAGCUUUAUAGUCGUGUUUCAAGUGUCAGGAAGGUAAAAUACAUAUCCUAAUUGUGUAUAGAUUUAUAAUUCGUAUUACUAGGCUUUGAACCAAAAACUGAAAGUUCCUGGCAAAAUUUAUUUACAAUAAAUACGUCAACACCUAAGUGUGUCAUCUUUUAGUUAUAUAUAUAUAUUCCUAACUCACGAGGUGUCUCGACUGUUAUUAACUUAUUAUAUGCAGGGUGAUUAGUCAAGAAAGCAAAAUUUGCCCAUUGGUGAGUCCCCUUUUUAUGGUUUGAGCAGAAAGGAAUCACUGGAAGCUCAUCAGCAAGAGCAAAAUCUGGCCUAUCAGGUAUGACAUCUGGACUAAGGUGUCAAUCUGAGAAUGUUUUCCCAACCUUUUCCCAACCUAAGAUUUUUGUUAUUUGGUAAGAAAGUUCUAGCUCUGAGAGAAGCCAGAGCUUUGCUAAUGACUCAGAAAGGGAAGAAAUCUCUAAAUACUUGUACUAAAAUCAUGACAAGUAUUUAGGAACGGAGGGAGUACAGAUUAUUUUGCACUAAAACCAUGACAAGUAUUUAGGAACGGAGGGAGUAAUACACAAGAAUGGCUAUAUGAAGGUCAUGAUGAGAGUGAGACUAAAUAGUUUAGAGUGGUAAACAUGAA